rnacentral:piRNA from 1 species
UCAUGCAGGGAAGCCCACAUGGAUGUAGC